GUUCUCGCUGCAGUCAACAAGCUCUCUCUUCCGAAAUGGUUUCGCGUGUCGUGUUCGCCUGCUUGGUCGUAAUUCUGCUGGCUGCCUGCGCCGUGGCCUUCCCUGACCCAAGCGGAGGAUACGGAGUCCCCACCUAUGGACACGGACGCGUGGGGCACGGAUACGGACACGGGUAUGGGGGCCAUGGCGGUUAUGGCAACGGAUACGGACACAGGCCGCCAUACUGAUGCUGUCCUUGGAUUAUGUCUCCAGUAACACGAUGGGUAAAGAGAUUUUAGCAAAAUAAUGAACAACCAGCUCUUUCUCCUGUUUAAAUCAGCUUGCAGCUUGUCUAAUUGGUCUCUAUCUUGUUUACAAUAAAGGUUGUAUUUUCUUCAA